GAGAAGAGUUGAAAGAACAUUGCUAGAGGCCCCAAUAUACCCUUCUCCUGGACUUACAGUUGUCAGUAUUUUGCCACAAUUCCUUUGAAACUCCUGGCGGCUCCUGGUGUUUCCUGGCUCGUGGCGGCGUCUCUAAUCUCUGCCUCUGUCUUCACACGGCCUUCUUCUCGGUGUCUGUCUUCUCUUUCCUGUCUUGCCAUUAAACUGGAUGACCCGGCUAAUCCAGGAUAAUCUCGAGA